rnacentral:rRNA from 1 species
AUUGAACGCUGGCGGCAGGCUUAACACAUGCAAGCCGAGCGGAGCGAGGGUGCUUGCACCUUAGCUUAGCGGCGGACGGGUGAGUAAUGCUUAGGAAUCUGCCUAUUAGUGGGGGACAACAUUCCGAAAGGAAUGCUAAUACCGCAUACGCCCUACGGGGGAAAGCAGGGGAUCUUCGGACCUUGCGCUAAUAUAUGAGCCUAAGUCGGAUUAGCUAGUUGGUGGGGUAAAGGCCUACCAAGGCGACGAUCUGUAGCGGGUCUGAGAGGAUGAUCCGCCACACUGGGACUGAGACACGGCCCAGACUCCUACGGGAGGCAGCAGUGGGGAAUAUUGGACAAUGGGCGGAAGCCUGAUCCAGCCAUGCCGCGUGUGUGAAGAAGGCCUUUUGGUUGUAAAGCACUUUAAGCGAGGAGGAGGCUCUUAAGGUUAAUACCCUUGAUGAGUGGACGUUACUCGCAGAAUAAGCACCGGCUAACUCUGUGCCAGCAGCCGCCGUAAGAC